AAUCAACGCUGGCGGCGUGCCUCAGACAUGCAAGUCGAACGAUUAAAGCUCUCUUCGGGAGAGUGUAUAGAGUGGCGCACGGGUGAGUAACACGUAAGUAAUCUACCUUUGAGUGGGGAAUAACAGUCGGAAACGACUGCUAAUACCGCAUAAUGCAGCGGCAUCGCAAGAUGACAGUUGUUAAAGGAGCAAUCCGCUUAAAGAGGAGCUUGCGCAGAUUAGCUUGUUGUAAGGUAACGGCUUACCAAGGCUACGAUCUGUAUCCGGUCUAAGA
rnacentral:rRNA from 1 species